ACGCUGCCUUUGAGCUCCCGUACACCUUCUCGUGGUGUGUGUGUGUGUGUGGGGGGGUGUCUUUAAGCUGCGGUGCCAUAACACAUUGCUGGUGCAUAACUGGGGCUGCCUGCCCUUCAUAGGCGGCCCUUUUAACCGCUAGCUACAGGC